AACGUAGGAUCCGAGCGUUAUCCGAAUUCACUGGGCGUAAAGCGCGAGUAGGCGGCAUAGCAAGUUGGAUGUAAAAACUUCCGGCUCAACUGGGAGAGGACGUACAAUACUGCUAAGCUAGAGGACGGUAGAGGGAGGUGGAAUUCCCGGUGUAGUGGUGAAAUGCGUAGAUAUCGGGAGGAACACCAGAGGCGAAGGCGGCCUCCUGGACCGUAACUGACGCUGAGAAGCGAAAGCUAGGGGAGCGAACGGG
rnacentral:rRNA from 1 species